UACGUAGGGGGCAAGCGUUGUCCGGAAUCAUUGGGCGUAAAGCGCGUGUAGGCGGCUCGAUAAGUCUGCUGUGAAAGUCCAGGGCUCAACCCUGGGAUGCCGGUGGAUACUGUCGAGCUCGAGUCCGGAAGAGGCGAGUGGAAUUCCUGGUGUAGCGGUGAAAUGCGCAGAUAUCAGGAGGAACACCAAUGGCGAAGGCAGCUCGCUGGGACGUGACUGACGUUGAGACGCGAAAGCGUGGGGAGCAAACAGG
rnacentral:rRNA from 1 species